GACUGCUGGGGUCAUGUUCACUGGGGUUUAUGUGCUGGUUGACAUCUAUGGCUACAGGAAGCCAACCUUGGUCAUGGAAUGGCUAGGGAUGCAUGCAUUGAUGGUCUACAGUCUAUUAGGUUGCAACAUCUUCCCUUUAUUUGCCCAAGGAUUCUACUUGAGGGAGCCUGAGAACAAUAUAUUGAAGGUCAUUGGCAUUUCCUAAACAUCAUUUAUCUCGUUCACCGCAUCAUCCUUACCUGGAAAGAAUUUCAAUCAAUGAUCACUAUCAAGGAAGAAUGUUCAAAGGAAAGUAAAGGCUAAGGAGAAGAAACCAUAUACUCCUUUCCCUCCUCAGCUACCAAGCAAGGUGUCCUCAAGAGUAUUGGGAAGAAUGCCGGCAAGUUAAAAAAAUG